GAUAACAGUUAGAAAUGACUGCUAAUACCGCAUAAGCGCACAGGACCGCAUGGUCGAGUGUGAAAAACUCCGGUGGUAUGAGAUGGACCCGCGUCUGAUUAGCUGGUUGGUGGGGUAACGGCCUACCAAGGCGACGAUCAGUAGCCGACCUGAGAGGGUGACCGGCCACAUUGGGACUGAGACACGGCCCAAACUCCUACGGGAGGCAGCAGUGGGGAAUAUUGCACAAUGGGGGAAACCCUGAUGCAGCGACGCCGCGUGAGUGAAGAAGUAUUUCGGUAUGUAAAGCUCUAUCAGCAGGGAAGAAAAUGACGGUACCUGACUAAGAAGCCCCGGCUAACUACGUGCCAGCAGCCGCGGUAAUACGUAGGGGGCAAGCGUUAUCCGGAUUUACUGGGUGUAAAGGGAGCGUAGACGGCAAGGCAAGUCUGAAGUGAAAGCCCGGGGCUUAACCGCGGGACUGCUUUGGAAACUGUCUGGCUGGAGUGCCGGAGAGGUAAGCGGAAUUCCUAGUGUAGCGGUGAAAUGCGUAGAUAUUAGGAGGAACACCAGUGGCGAAGGCGGCUUACUGGACGGUAACUGACGUUGAGGCUCGAAAGCGUGGGGAGCAAACAGGAUUAGAUACCCUGGUAGUCCAUGCCGUAAACGAUGUCUACUAGCCGUUGGGGCCUUUGAGGCUUUAGUGGCGCAGCUAACGCGAUAA
rnacentral:rRNA from 1 species